GACGAACGCUGGCGGCGUGCUUAACACAUGCAAGUCGAACGGAGAGGCCCUGCUUUUGUGGGGUGCUCGAGUGGCGAACGGGUGAGUAACACGUGAGUAACCUGCCCUUGACUUUGGGAUAACUUCAGGAAACUGGGGCUAAUACCGGAUAGGAGCUCCUGCUGCAUGGUGGGGGUUGGAAAGUUUCGGCGGUUGGGGAUGGACUCGCGGCUUAUCAGCUUGUUGGUGGGGUAGUGGCUUACCAAGGCUUUGACGGGUAGCCGGCCUGAGAGGGUGACCGGCCACAUUGGGACUGAGAUACGGCCCAGACUCCUACGGGAGGCAGCAGUGGGGAAUAUUGCACAAUGGGCGGAAGCCUGAUGCAGCAACGCCGCGUGCGGGAUGACGGCCUUCGGGUUGUAAACCGCUUUCGCCUGUGACGAAGCGUGAGUGACGGUAAUGGGUAAAGAAGCACCGGCUAACUACGU
rnacentral:rRNA from 1 species